ACCUAGAAGAAGAAAGCUGGCUGGAGAUGGAGAGAGACUCCACGAUUCAAAGGAGAGGCCAUAUAUUGGAGGGGGCAGAUCCUAGACACCCUAGAGGACUCUGACCAAAUCCCCAAAAUGCUUCAGAAUGGAAACCUAAUGGGAAAACUGUGCACUGUCAGUAACUUGGGGAUAUAUUUCUGAAUAAAAUGUACUGAUUGCAUUUAAGUCAAGCAGAAAAAGAAAGAGAUUAGAGAAACCACACAUAUUUCUUCCAUCAGAACCCUGAAAGAUCUUCCAUGAAAAGUACAGACAUUCUUUUCAUAGAUGUUUAAAUCAUUUUUUUAAAAGAAACCAAACACAUCAUUUCUGAGAUGAC